UACGUAGGGAGCAAGCGUUGUCCGGAAUCAUUGGGCGUAAAGCGCGCGUAGGUGGUCCCGUAAGUCCGCUGUGAAAGUCAAAGGCUCAACCUUUGAAAGCCGGUGGAUACUGUGGGACUAGAGUACAGAAGGGGCGAACUGGAAUUCUCGGUGUAGCGGUGGAAAUGCGUAGAUAUCGAGAGGAACACCUGCGGCGAAGGCGGGUUGCUGGGCUGAUACUGACGCUGAGGCGCGAAAGCCAGGGGAGCGAACGGG
rnacentral:rRNA from 1 species